GCUUUUUAGUCUCCUCCAUGGAUGAACAACCUGAUUGAUUAUCUAUUACCAAAUGGUCAGCCCUAAAAACAUACCUUCAGGCAACACUAAAGAUACUCAACAUGCUGUAUUGAGUCUUUUCUUCAUAAGCCAAAUCCUAGAAGCCAUGUCCUCUAUAACAGCAGAAGUGCAGCAGGCCAAGAUGAUAGAAACUGAAGAAGCAUGUUGAAUGCCACAUGCCCUGGCUUUUGCUGCUAGGAAACUGGGAACAGCAGGAAGCCAUGUUGCAUCACAUUCACACUUGAAACAAAACAGGAAGAAGUUCUACCGCCUCGAAGCACGUAUAAACAAGCAGAGACAACUCUUCUACUCUCUUCAGUGUCCUGCGUCUAUACAACCCAAGACAAUGGCUCCCCUCGGAGUACUGUGAUGAAUCCACUAGAAGAACGAAAUGAAUCCAAGCCACGAGGAGUUGCAAAAAUCCCAGGAUGCCUGUCACCCUGUGCUCUCACUUUUAUUACAGAAGAAGCUCUGCUAAAAUAAAGGCCCAGCCCUGAUAUAUCAUUCUCUAAUGCCACAAGAACUGUAUAUAAAACACUAUG
rnacentral:sRNA from 1 species